CCUACGGGAGGCUGCAGUGAGGAAUAUUGGUCAAUGGGCGCGAGCCUGAACCAGCCAAGUCGCGUCAGGGAAGACGGUCCUAUGGAUUGUAAACCUCUUUUGUCGGGGAGCAAAAGACGCCACGCGUGGCGUUCCGAGAGUACCCGAAGAAAAAGCAUCGGCUAACUCCGUGCCAGCAGCCGCGGUAAUACGGAGGAUGCGAGCGUUAUCCGGAUUUAUUGGGUUUAAAGGGUGCGCAGGAGGAAGGUAAAGUCAGCGGUAAAAUUGAGAGGCUCAACCUCUUCGAGCCGUUGAAACUGGUUGUCUUGAGUGGGCGAGAAGUAUGCGGAAUGCGUGGUGUAGCGGUGAAAUGCAUAGAUAUCACGCAGAACUCCGAUUGCGAAGGCAGCAUACCGGCGCUCAACUGACGCUCAUGCACGAAAGUGUGGGUAUCGAACAGGAUUAGAUACCCCUGUAGUC
rnacentral:rRNA from 1 species